rnacentral:rRNA from 1 species
UACGUAGGUGGCAAGCGUUGUUCGGAAUUAUUGGGCGUAAAGGGCGCGUAGGCGGUUUGUUAAGUCGGCUGUGAAAGCCCGGGGCUCAACCCCGGAGGGUCAGCCGAUACUGGCAGACUAGAGUACGGAAGAGGUAGCUGGAAUUCCCGGUGUAGCGGUGAAAUGCAUAGAUAUGACCCGGAACACCGAUUGCGAAGGCAGGCUACUACGACUUGAUUGACACUGAGGCACGAGAGCAUGGGUAACGAACAGG